rnacentral:rRNA from 1 species
AGCGCAGGCGGGAAGACAAGUUGGAAGUGAAAUCCAUGGGCUCAACCCAUGAAUUGCUUUCAAAACUGUUUUUCUUGAGUAGUGCAGAGGUAGGCGGAAUUCCCGGUGUAGCGGUGGAAUGCGUAGAUAUCGGGAGGAACACCAGUGGCGAAGGCGGCCUACUGGGCACCAACUGACGCUGAGGCUCGAAAGUGUGGGUAGCAAACA